rnacentral:rRNA from 1 species
UAAAAAAUUUGGCGGUAUUUUAGUCUAUUCAGAGGAACCUGUUCUGUAAUCGAUAAUCCACGAUGGACCUUACUUAAGUUUGUAAUCAGUUUAUAUACCGUCGUUAUUAGAAUAUUUUAUAAGAAUGUUAAUUUUCAUAAUUUUUUAAAAGAAAAUAUAUCAGAUCAAGGUGUAGCUAAUAUUUAAGUAGAAAUGGGUUACAAUAAAUUUAUUUAAACGGAUAUAAAUUUGAAAUAUUUAUUGAAGGUGGAUUUGAUAGUAAAAUUAUAAAGAUUAAUAAUUUGAUUUUAGCUCUAAAAUAUGCACACAUCGCCCGUCACUCUUACUACUAAGGUAAGAUAAGUCGUAACAUAGUAGAUGUACUGGAAAGUGUACCUAGAAUGCAAUUUAAAGCUUAUUAAGUAAAGUAUUUCAUUUACAUUGAAAAGAUUUUUGUGCAAAUCAAUAUAAAUUGAAUAGAUUUUAUUUAUUAAUAUUUUUUUUAAAAAAUUUAAUUUAUUAAAAAUAAUUAUAUAAAGAAUUGUUUUAGUAUUUUUUAAAGAAAAAAUAAUAUUAAUUAUAGUGUAAUAGUAU